rnacentral:rRNA from 1 species
UACGUAGGGUGCAAGCGUUAAUCGGAAUUACUGGGCGUAAAGCGUGCGCAGGCGGUUAUGUAAGACAGAUGUGAAAUGCCCGGGCUUAACCUGGGAACUGCAUUUGUGACUGCAUGGCUAGAGUGUGUCAGAGGGGGUAGAAUUCCACGUGUAGCAGUGAAAUGCGUAGAUAUGUGGAGGAAUACCGAUGGCGAAGGCAGCCCCCUGGGAUAACACUGACGCUCAUGCACGAAAGCGUGGGGAGCAAACAGG